rnacentral:lncRNA from 1 species
UUAUAUUCUUAAUAAAAAUUUAUAACUAAUAUAAAUACUCCAAGCAUCCUUUUUUAUUUUUUAUGAUAAAUUCUAAAAAUUUUAUUUUUUCUUAAAUUUUAUGUCCAUUCACGUCAAUUGGAACGGAUGUAAUAUAAGUUGUAAUUUUGAGACAAUACUUUCACAGGAUAUCUUUAAAUUUCUGCAAAUCCCUUCGGCCAAAAAAGAAAAAGAAUAUUUGCAAACUCCUCAGAAAAAUUUUCAAGGACAGCUUGAUGCUAUGGAUCUCAGUAGCAAUUGAGUUACAGAAAAUGGAGGAAACAUCUGAAGGAUAAACCAUAUGCACCAAGAAUUACCACAAGAACUCAUCACUGAAAUUCUGGUCAGGUUACCUGUCAGACUCCUCUUAAAAUUCAGGUGUGUUUCAAAAUCAUGGCUUUCUCUACUUUCAACUACUGAAUUCCACAAAACCCAUGUCAAUUUUUCCAUAAAGAACCCCAAAAAGACUGAUUACACAAUUGCUGGUGUAACCUCAGUUUCUGGUUUAGGUAAAAUCUGCCAUGUUUACACAAAAAAGUGUGAAAAUUCAUUUAUUACUGUGGCUAAGCAUGGCUGUCCUCCUAAAUCUUUGCCUCUCUCGGCUUUGCUAUUGGGUUCUUGCAACGGUUUAGUUUGUUUAACUAGCGACUCAUUUACACUAAUGCUAUUGAAUCCAUGUACUGGAAAUUUUAUUGUAUUUCCUGAUACAAUGUCUGAGUAUAAAGUUGGUGCUGGUGGUUGUUAUGUUAGAUAUGGAUUUGGUUAUGAUGCAUCUAUUGAAGAUUAUAAGGUUGUCAAGAUCUUUAGUUUUCCUCAAAAUGAAGGCAGACAUGAGAACAUAGUUAUGGUUUAUAGCUUAAAGGCUAAUUCUUGGUCAACUAUUCAGGGUUUUAAUAGGAAUGAUGGCAGACAUGAGAACAUAACAACAACAACAACAACAACUACCCAGUAUACUCCCACAUAGUUAAGGUUUAUAGCUUAAAGGCUAAUUCUUGGUUAACUAUUCACGGUUUUAAUAGU